GACGAACGCUGGCGGCGUGCUUAACACAUGCAAGUCGAGCGGUAAGGCCUUUCGGGGUACACGAGCGGCGAACGGGUGAGUAACACGUGAGUGAUCUGCCCUGCACUUCGGGAUAAGCCUGGGAAACUGGGUCUAAUACCGGAUAUGACCUCCUAUCGCAUGGUGGGUGGUGGAAAGAUUUAUCGGUGCAGGAUGGGCCCGCGGCCUAUCAGCUUGUUGGUGGGGUAAUGGCCUACCAAGGCGACGACGGGUAGCCGACCUGAGAGGGUGACCGGCCACACUGGGACUGAGACACGGCCCAGACUCCUACGGGAGGCAGCAGUGGGGAAUAUUGCACAAUGGGCGAAAGCCUGAUGCAGCGACGCCGCGUGAGGGAUGACGGCCUUCGGGUUGUAAACCUCUUUCAGCGGGGACGAAGCGCAAGUGACGGUACCUGCAGAAGAAGCACCGGCUAACUACGUG
rnacentral:rRNA from 1 species